rnacentral:rRNA from 1 species
GAUGAACGCUGGCGGCGUGCCUAAUACAUGCAAGUCGAGCGAACAGAUAAGGAGCUUGCUCCUUUGACGUUAGCGGCGGACGGGUGAGUAACACGUGGAUAACCUACCUAUAAGACUGGGAUAACUUCGGGAAACCGAAGCUAAUACCGGAUAACAUAUUGAACCGCAUGGUUCAAUAGUGAAAGGCGGCUUUGCUGUCACUUAUAGAUGGAUCCGCGCCGCAUUAGCUAGUUGGUAAGGUAACGGCUUACCAAGGCAACGAUACGUAGCCGACCUGAGAGGGUGAUCGGCCACACUGGAACUGAGACACGGUCCAGACUCCUACGGGAGGCAGCAGUAGGGAAUCUUCCGCAAUGGGCGAAAGCCUGACGGAGCAACGCCGCGUGAGUGAUGAAGGUCUUCGGAUCGUAAAACUCUGUUAUCAGGGAAGAACAAAUGUGUAAGUAACUGUGCACAUCUUGACGGUACCUGAUCAGAAAGCCACGGCUAACUACGUG